rnacentral:rRNA from 1 species
AACGUAGGGUGCAAGCGUUGUCCGGAAUUACUGGGUGUAAAGGGAGCGCAGGCGGACCGGCAAGUUGGAAGUGAAAACUAUGGGCUCAACCCAUAAAUUGCUUUCAAAACUGUUGGCCUUGAGUAGUGCAGAGGUAGGUGGAAUUCCCGGUGUAGCGGUGGAAUGCGUAGAUAUCGGGAGGAACACCAGUGGCGAAGGCGACCUACUGGGCAUCAACUGACGCUGAGGCUCGAAAGCAUGGGUAGCAAACAGG